AGCGAACGCUGGCGGCAGGCCUAGCACAUGCAAGUCGAACGAACUCUUCGGAGUUAGUGGCGGACGGGUGAGUAACACGUGGGAACGUGCCUUUUGGUUCGGAAUAACUCAGGGAAACUUGUGCUAAUACCGAAUGUGCCCUUCGGGGGAAAGAUUUAUCGCCAUUAGAGCGGCCCGCGUCUGAUUAGCUAGUUGGUGAGGUAACGGCUCACCAAGGCGACGAUCAGUAGCUGGUCUGAGAGGAUGACCAGCCACACUGGGACUGAGACACGGCCCAGACUCCUACGGGAGGCAGCAGUGGGGAAUCUUGCGCAAUGGGCGAAAGCCUGACGCAGCCAUGCCGCGUGAAUGAUGAAGGGCUUAGGAUUGUAAAAUUCUUUCACCGGGGACGAUAAUGACGGUACCCGGAGAAGAAGCCCCGGCUAACUUCGUG
rnacentral:rRNA from 1 species